rnacentral:lncRNA from 1 species
AUGGCCCCAAAGGUAACUUCUUUUUUUUUUUUUUUUUUUUUGGCUUGCUCCACAGCUCCCAGGCCAAGGUGCAAUUGCAACCCACCCGGUCCUUUAAGGCGAUGUGCCAGGAGGGGAUUGAACCUGUGUCCCAGCACUCCAGAGAUGCCGCUGAUCCUGUUGCACCAUAGGGGAAACUCCAAAAGAUUCUCAGCAUCUCUCGGAGCUUUGCCUGAGAAAUACCUCUUUUGCCAUCCUGAGUCCCAAGCCCAUCUCCCAGCGAAGCCUAUUUCCUAGCGCCUGUGGGAGCAGCAGUCUACACAGGCCCUGGGGAUGGUAGAAAGGCCUCACCCGAAGGGGCCCACUUUGGCCAUUGGACCUUGAAGCGGCUAAAGCAAAAAUAGAAAUUGAGACCACUCCAAAGAGGUGAGAUCCCUUCUUUGUGGUUUCCUCCAUGCUGGGCAGCCAGAACCAUUGGGCUAUGGAGAAAUUUGGACUGACAGGAUGCAACGGAAGCUCCCCUAGCCAGAGAAACUGUCCAGCCCUGGCACAGUGCUUCCAUUUCAUCCUGGCAGUGGCCAACUGGGACAGACCAUCACAUAUGGUAUCACAUGACGAUUCCCUGCUACACGCAGAAAGCAACAAUAAUAAAACCAUGAGUACUGCUGUCA